CCGCCGCGGGAGAGCGCGGGGCCGCCGGGCUGCGCGGCGAGGUUCGGCGGGAGUCCUGGUUCCGGGAGCUUGGUCAGCCCGCCCGAGCCCAGCCCGGCUCCCUACCCUGUGCCGCCCGGGCGGUUCCCUGGAAGCCCGGAACGACAGAGCUACUCCGGCCCCAUCACAGGAGGAGGCAGCCUUCUGGGAACUUCACAGUGGCAUGUGUUUAUCAUGCAAAUUUCCCUCCAGUCUUCUUAGGAACUCUUGGUACCUUCCGAUGUGCAACUUUUCAUCCUGGCAUGUGAUUUGAAGCUUAGAGAAGAUCUGCCUACCUUAAGAACAACGGGGGUUUACUGGAAGGAUACUAAACAGCUCACAGCACAACGGGAGGGCUGAAGCUCCAGGUUCAGGUUCAGGACAAAGAACCAGGGAAGAACAAGAGCCAGAAAAGAACCCAGAAUAGCAAGUACUAUUUAGCCAUUUGGUCAGUUUCCUCCUACCAGCUGAAUGGACUCCAACAGUCUUUCCCACUCAAGAAUCUCCCUGGAGACAGACUCCAAUUGGUCAAGAUUAGGUCACGUAUCACCCUUUGACUGUGGCAGGGCAGCAAGAGGAAGGAUACAGCAACCUCCUGGGAUCCUGUGGCUUCUGUAUGGGAAGGCAGGGUACCCUGGCUGGACACAACUGGGGAGAGGUGAUUCACCAGAAGGAAACAGCAAUGUGAUCAGGGAGAAUCAGGUUGGGGGAAUGGCCAGUGAACAACAAACAUGUCCCCUCCAGAAGCUUAUGCCUUGAAUUAUUUUACUUACACAGCAAUGUAACAAAAAUAACCUAAGUCAACAGUAGAGGUCCAGGAUAAUCAUUUUUCUUUUAAAGGAGAUGGUACACUAUUCAAACUGGGGAAACACUGUUAUAUACUCCUAUUAAAGAAAUGUUUUCCAGCUGCCUUACAACAGUCAGCUCCUCACCUUUCGAGAGCAAUGGGUCUGCAGAGAAUAACAAAAAGACUCUUUAUUGAGCCAGCCAUGUGCCUUUUAAUGGCUAUUUAUUAUCUUAGUUAACUAAAGGCUAUCUUCAAGGCCAAAUUCUUAUACACUUACUUUGUAAGGUCUCUACUAAAUACUAAGCUCCAGACCAUCCUCUCACUUUUUAUCUGAAUGGAGGGAGGGGUUUGUUUCAUCUAUUUACAUUGUUACUAUUUUUAAUUAUUACAAAGACAUCCUGAUUUGGAACAGAAGUCUUCAGCAAGGAAAUACAACUUUAGACUUUAGAGACAGAGCAAAUUAGUGGAUGGCAGGGGAGCAGCUCAGAACCAGUCAUGAGCACAGGCAUGAGAGUGGGAACGAGCAGUCGGGCUUGAAUGAAGGGAAGGGACGGUGGGAGACGAGCAGCAGAGUAUAGAGAGCUUUGACUGUGAAGCUAAAGUGUUUGUCCUAUAAAGAAAUGAUUUUUGAAUAGAGGCAUAAAGUGGAAGCAAAUAAUUAAGAUUAAUUUGGCAGUUGUGUGCAACAUGGACUGAAAGAAGAGAAGGGAUUCCAGGGAAACAAGUCAAGCGACAGUAAUCAUCCACAUGUGCUGUGCUGAUGCUCUGAGGCAGGAGGAAAUGAUUGGCCUUGUUUGCUGCAGUAGUCACUAGCUCAAAGGUGCUCCUGUCUGAGCUGUGAUGCAACACAGUAAACUGCAAUGAGUCCUCCCACAGCUUCCUCAUCAAACUGACAGUCACAGGUGACUUGUGGUCUUAAUAAAUUGAAAAUUUCCCCUAAUAGUAAUGACAUUCUUCAUGGUGCUGAAUCCUCUCUCGGCUUCCUCUGAACUACCAGCAAUUAUGUUCAGAUUUUUUCUAAGCCUUCUAAUAGUGUCUAAAAUUAUAUAUUUUAUAUCUUUAGUGCUAAGCCAUUUUAGUGAAUGCUAUAAUUUUACUUUUGUUCAUCUUCAAUCUAGAGCUUUGCAAACCUAAACUGGCCAAGUUUCAGGAUUCAAUAAAUUGAACAAACUUAAAAAAAAAAUGAUGCUUUAAUUUCUGUUAUCAGACUACAAAUGCAAUUUCAUAAAAUGUAUUAGAAAAUCUGUUCGUUUGUCUCUUGGAAUAGCUACUUCGUUUUGUUAUAGUUAAUCAACAG